rnacentral:rRNA from 1 species
UACGUAGGUGACGAGCGUUGUCCGGAAUUAUUGGGCGUAAAGGGAGCGCAGGCGGUUGGUAUAGUCUGAUGUGAAAGCCCGCGGCUUAACCGUGGAAGGGCAUUGGAAACUGUCCGACUUGAGUGCAGAAGAGGUAAGUGGAAUUCCUGGUGUAGCGGUGAAAUGCGUAGAUAUAUGGAGGAACACCAGUGGCGAAGGCGACUUACUGGUCUGUGAUUGACGCUGAGGCUCGAAAGCGUGGGUAGCGAACAGG